UCUGAGAGGAUGAACGGCCACAUUGGAACUGAGACACGGUCCAAACUCCUACGGGAGGCAGCAGUGGGGAAUAUUGCACAAUGGGGGGAACCCUGAUGCAGCGACGCCGCGUGAGCGAAGAAGGUUUUCGAAUCGUAAAGCUCUGUCCUAUGAGAAGAUAAUGACGGUAUCAUAGGAGGAAGCCCCGGC
rnacentral:rRNA from 1 species